rnacentral:rRNA from 1 species
GGCAAGCAAAUGAAAGUAAAUUCAUAGCACUGAUCGCGAGCCAACUCCUCCAGGAAGUAGUUCUCCACAUGCUCAAAUCUAUACGCGGAGGGUUAGUGAACACUUACCGUAAUAAUAUGCAAAUCUGCAAGGCCAUUAACCAUCAACUGAACAGCUAACGCCGCCAAAAUAUACCUAGCAGUUUCUCCAGGACCAGAAUGCGUUCGUUAGUCAGAUAUUUGUCGAGACGAUGAGAGAUCAGAAACACACCGAGACCGAUAGCGCACAAGUA